CCUACGGGUGGCAGCAGUGGGGAAUAUUGGACAAUGGGGGAAACCCUGAUCCAGCGACGCCGCGUGAGUGAAGAAGUAUUUCGGUACGUAAAGCUCUAUCAGCAGGAAAGAAAAUGACGGUACCUGACUAAGAAGCCCCGGCUAACUACGUGCCAGCAGCCGCGGUAAUACGUAGGUGACAAGCUGUAUCCGGAUUUACUGGGUGUAAAGGGAGCGUAGACGGCAGCGCAAGUAAGGAGUGAAAUGCCGGGGACCAACCCCGGAACUGCGCUGGAAACUGUGAAGCUGGAGGGCAGGCGAGGUAAGCGGAAUUGCUGGUGUAGCGGUGAAAUGCGGAGAUAUCACGAGGAACACCGGCGGCGAAGGCGGCUUACUGGACUGUAACUGACGUUGAGGCUCGAAGGCGUGGGGAGCAAACAGGAUUAGAUACCCGGGUAGUC
rnacentral:rRNA from 1 species